rnacentral:lncRNA from 1 species
ACUCCCAACCCCUUCCCCCCCCCCCAAAAAAUAUCCGCACAUCUCCCGCUCUAACCUUUCCCCACUCUAAGCAACUAUCCCUAAAACCCUCGUUCUUCUUGUUUUAGAAAACAGAAAUUGUCAAGGUAUGGCCCCCCUAGUUUUUUUUUUCCUUCUUAAUUAUUUCGAUUUUUGCCAUGCUUUCCUAGGAUUCUUGAUCGAGAAUAGUUCCUUUCACUUUCAUCAUUAUAUUAUGACAGUGAAAUGGCAAUCCCGACUUUAGCUAUAUUGAUAAGUGCCAAGAAUUUAAAAGAUUGCCAAAUUCAAAGCAAUGAAUUGGGAAUCUCUCCUAUUAUGAAUGGAGGGCCUUUUUCGUAUAUUUUAAUUCCUAUAUUUGCCUUUUGUAAUCUGUUUAAAUUAGUUUGUUGUAUGGAAAUUAGUAGUUGAAUCUUAAUUCUGUAGUACUAAGCCUGAACAAGCCUUUUAUAUUGCCUAUGUUUGCCUUUUGUAAUUUGUUUAAAUUAGUUUUUCUAUUUUCUUGUAUAUUGUAUAUUUUUCAUUACCUUCAUUUGCGGAUUGAGGAUCUUAAAUGGCUUUUUGGGUUGUACCCAGUUUACAGUUAUAUGCACACACAAAAAACUAUACUAAUAAAUCUUCUCUAUUAGAGUAAGUACUGUUCACAGUUGUAGUCGCUAAUAUCUAUGUGAAUACUUGCAGAAAGUAAAUGAGUUGGUGAGGCACAAUAUUCACCCAAACUUGAUGAUCAGUUGAGUGGAUACAGGGUGAGUAUAUGCAUUCAUUUGAUGUACAACUUACUAAAUAAAUGGUCAUAUGGAAAUGCAUCUUCGCUUCCUAUAUAUUUUUGUACUUCUUGUGGAAGCUAGCAAUGAUGCAAACAGG